rnacentral:pre_miRNA from 1 species
AAAUUGCCCUCUAAGUUUUGCAACUGUAGCAGUUCUGGCCCCCCAAGACAAAAAAAAUAAAUAACAUGUGCCACCUCACUUAGAGUGCCACAUCAACGUAGACCGAGUCAAAAUUGGUCUUGGGGGCCAAAACUGCCACAGGUGCAAAACUUAAGGGGCGGUUU